CCAACAGGCCGAGUUGUAAUUUGUAGAUGGCUACACUGCAUAAUAGUAGAUGCUCAAGUUCUUUGGAAAAAGACAUCAUGGAGGGUGACAAUCCCGUGAGGCAUGUUACUAGGAGCAUAUAGUGGGCUUUCUAAGAGUCGAGUUGUUUGGGAAUGCAGCUCAAAGUGCGUGGUGAAUACCAUGUAAAGCUAAAUAUGGACGAGAGACCGAUAGCGAACAAGUACUGUGAAGGAAAGAUGAAAAGCACUCCGAAAGGAGAGUGAAAUAGUACGUGAAAUUGUUAAAGUGGAAGGGCUUGAGAUCAGAAUUGGUAGUUUGGGUUCCACGUCCUCUUGGGGGCGUGUACUCCCUUUCCACCGGGCCAGCGGGAGUUUCGUCUCUUGGGUAAAAGCAGUGGAAUGUAGCAGCUUGUCUGUAUUAUAGCCUCUGUUCAUACAAGACGUCGAGACUUGAUUU
rnacentral:rRNA from 1 species